UACGGAGGAUGCGAGCGUUAUCCGGAUUUAUUGGGUUUAAAGGUGCGUAGGCGGACGCUUAAGUCAGCGGUAAAAUUGCGGGGCUCAACCUCGUCGAGCCGUUGAAACUGGGUGCCUUGAGUGGGCGAGAAGUACGCGGAAUGCGUGGUGUAGCGGUGAAAUGCAUAGAUAUCACGCAGAACUCCGAUUGCGAAGGCAGCGUACCGGCGCCCUACUGACGCUGAAGCACGAAGGCGUGGGUAUCGAACAGG
rnacentral:rRNA from 1 species